UGAUGGUGUAUCAACAAGAUGCUCAUCUCGGCCCGAGUCACUUCAAGUUGUCGGCACCAGGACUUCAGACUUUGGUGUGGUUCGGCCCACCACCGCAUUCCACCACUAUCGACUCCGUCCCGGCUUCUCUUGUCUCUACCUUCCUCAUACCUAUCAACUUUCGGCGCUCUUACAUGGACUUACUGUACAAUGGCUCUUUGAGUACCACAUUUACCAAGCUUCAUGUUAAUCGGCUGGUUGUGUUGUACAAAUCUAUCGAGAUAUUGAGUGAAUUUAUUUCCGAUUAGCGCGACCAACCGAAUCCACCGGCUCCAAACUAUGGAAAUCUCGAGCAUUUGGAAAUAUUGGCUAACUUUGCGGGAUUCGAUUCGCUGGGUGUUGCCUUCUUGCUCAAGCACUCCUGUAAACUCAGGACGUUGGUUGUUGCCUUCAAUUUGGGAUUUGAACAGAAUAUUGAUUAUGCUAAUUAUUUCGACGCAAAAGGCGGUUUCGGCCGAGGAGGUUACUGGGAUUCCCAUGGGAUGUCGCUCGAGCUGUUGGUCGAAAUAUCAAUCUACAAGCCUUUAGGGCAGCGGUAUGAAAACGACUUUCUGGAGUUCUUAUUUCGAGUUGCGACUUCAUUGACAAAGAUGACCGUCACCUUUGAUUCCUAUAAAGCUAAUUAUGGAGAGACUUUAAAGGUGAUUAAGCAACUGCGGCACACUUUUCCACAUGUUAAAAUUCUGGUUCCAUAAUUUUAUUUUCCUCUUUUGAGAAACUUUGCUUUUUAGUUAGGACCUAUUUAUAUUGAUGUCCGCUCCAUUAUCUAAAGUUGUAGUUUGGUUUUGCCUUUAAUUAUCUUUUGCUUGACCCAGAGAAGAUGUUCAGAUACGGUGGAUGGUAAAUUUGAGCUUAGCAGAUUUGUAAAAAAAUUCUAU